rnacentral:lncRNA from 1 species
UUCCAUUGAAUGUGAAAUGAGGAGGUGUCCAUACACUCUCGGAUUAGGCGAGCCGAAUCUGAGCGGCAAGCCCAGCCUUGAAUAUGACGCAGUAGUCAAGCCAUCGGAACUUCACGCUCUGAAGAAAAGCCCCUCCGAUCGCAUGAAUUUGGACAAUUUCGAAAACCGAACGCUGUACACGACACACCAGAUCCUCGAAACAUGGAUCUACGCGUCAAAAAUGCUUUUGAAGAGAAUCGCUGAGAGAAUCGAUCGCAAAGACUACGAAAAAGCCGUUAACGACUGCUGGUUACUGGAGAAAACGUGGAAACUCCUAAUCGAAAUCGAAGACCUUCACUUGCUGAUGGAUCCAGAUGAUUUUCUACGCCUAAAAAACCAAUUAUCCAUCAAAGCAACUGCCGAAUCGGAGCUAUUUUGCUUCCGAUCCAAAGGACUCGUUGAAAUUACCAAACUAUCCAAGGAUCUAAAACACAAAGUGCCGAACAUUCUAGACGUAGAGGUAGAUCCCCAGGGGGGACCAAGAAUUCAAGAGGCAGCCAUGGAUUUGUUCAGGAAAAAGGAAAGCUUCGAGAAGAUUCACUUGCUUCAAGCUUUACAAGCAAUUGAAAUGGCAGUGAAGAGAUUCUACUAUUCGUAUAAGCAGUUGUUAGUAAUUGUUAUGGGGAGUUUAGAAGCUAAAGGG